AUACGUACUGUGCGAACGUUAUUCGGAAUCACUGGGCUUAAAGGGUGUGUAGGCGGCCACGUAAGUAGGAUGUGAAAUCUCUCGGCUUAAUCGAGAAACUGCGUUCUAAACUGUGUGGCUUGAGUAAGAUAGGGGUGUGCGGAACCUCCGGUGGAGCGGUGAAAUGUGUUGAGAUCGGAGGGAACACCAGUAGCGAAGGCGGCACACUGGGUCUUAACUGACGCUGAGACACGAAAGCUAGGGUAGCGAACGGGAUUAGAAACCCUAGUAGUCCC
rnacentral:rRNA from 1 species